rnacentral:rRNA from 1 species
GAUAAACGCUGGCGGCGUGCCUAACACAUGCAAGUCGAACGCCCUUACGCAAGCAAGGGAGUGGCGGACGGGUGAGGAACACGUGGGUGAUCUGCCUUGAGGUGAGGAAUACCGGCGAGAAAUCGCCGACAAUACCGCAUACGUUCGCAAGAACAAAGUCGCAAGACGCCUUGAGAUGAGCCUGCGUCCGAUUAGCUAGUUGGUGGGGUAAAAGCCUACCAAGGCAGCGAUCGGUAGCUGGUCUGAGAGGACGAUCAGCCACACUGGGAUUGAGAACGGCCCAGACUCCUACGGGGGCAGCAGUGAGGAAUUUUCGUCAAUGGCCGAAAGGCUGAACGAGCAACGCCGCGUGCAGGAAGAAGGUCUUCGGAUCGUAAACUGCUUUUCUGGGGGAAGAGCGACGGACGGUACCCCAGGAAGAAGCCCC